AUACGAAGGGUGCAAGCGUUAAUCGGAAUUACUGGGCGUAAAGCGCGCGUAGGUGGUUCAGUAAGUUGGAAGUGAAAUCCCCGGGCUCAACCUGGGAACUGCUUUCAAAACUGCUGAGCUAGAGUACGGUAGAGGGUGGUGGAAUUUCCUGUGUAGCGGUGAAAGUGCGUAGAUAUAGGAAGGAACACCAGUGGCGAAGGCGACCACCUGGACUGAUACUGACACUGAGGUGCGAAAGCGUGGGGAGC
rnacentral:rRNA from 1 species